rnacentral:rRNA from 1 species
GAUGAACGCUAGCGGCAGGCCUAACACAUGCAAGUCGAGGGGUAGCAGGAUUAAGCUUGCUUAAUUGCUGACGACCGGCGCACGGGUGCGUAACGCGUAUGCAACCUACCUUAUACUGGGGUAUAACCCGGAGAAAUUCGGAUUAAUCCCCCAUAGUACUAAUGAAUCGCAUGGUUUAUUAGUUAAAGCAUUGCGGUAUAAGAUGGGCAUGCGUCCUAUUAGCUAGAUGGUGAGGUAACGGCUCACCAUGGCUACGAUAGGUAGGGGGCCUGGGAGGGUGGUCCCCCACACUGGUACUGAGACACGGACCAGACUCCUACGGGAGGCAGCAGUGAGGAAUAUUGGUCAAUGGGCGCAAGCCUGAACCAGCCAUGCCGCGUGCAGGAAGAAUGCCCUAUGGGUUGUAAACUGCUUUUAUUUGGGAAUAAACCUCUUUACGUGUAGAGAGCUGAAGGUACCAAAUGAAUAAGCACCGGCUAACCCCGUGCCAGCCGCCGCAGUAA